rnacentral:rRNA from 1 species
GAUGAACGCUGGCGGCGUGCCUAAUACAUGCAAGUCGAGCGAACGGACGCGAAGUUUGCUUCUCUGAUGUUAGCGGCGGACGGGUGAGUAACACGUGGAUAACCUACCUAUAAGACUGGGAUAACUUCGGGACACCGGAGCUAAUACCGGAUAAUAUUUUGAACCGCAUGGUUCAAAAGUGAAAGACUGUCUUGCUGUCUCUUCUAGCUGGAUCCGCGCUGCAUUAGCUAGUUGGUAAGGUAACGGCUUACCAAGGCAACGAUGCAUAGCCGACCUGGGAGGGUGAUCGGCGACCCUGGAACGGGGACACGCACACGACUCCUGCGAGAGGCAGCAGAAGGGAAUGUGAGGCAGUGGGCGAAAGUCUGACGGAGCGACGGCGCGUGAGUGGUGAAGGUCCUCGGAUCGUAAAACUCUGUUAUGAGGGAAGAACAUAUGUGUAAGGGGCUGUACACAUCGUGACGGUACCUAAACAGAAAGCAACGGCUAACUACGUG